ACAGCUGAUUUCCUCCUACAGCAGCCAACUCCUCACCAUUGAUACUUCCCAAUAGAUCCACACUGUUCUUACUUGAAAUUGUUUCCCACCACCGUCACGUGGGGAAGAAGGGUCAGGAGGUCAUUUGACGGCAUAUAAUUGGAGAUGUUUUCUUCGCCCGCCUCGGUACUCGCUUCCUUCACAGGAUUUCGUCAGGCCUGAAAAGUGGUUGUUGACGACACAACACCGCACAACACUGCAAUUUCCAAGUGUAUACACUCACAGCAAAGGACAAAGACUCACCCACUGCACUCCACACACUCCUGGUGAAUUUAGGGUCAAAACCCCGUCUGACCAAAGACUCGUCCUGGAAGUCGUGAAGACACUGAUGCCACGAAUAUUCAGAUUUAUACGUUGCCGCCACAACAACCCAACAUCCUCUCGCUCACUGGUCCCGGCUCACCCACAAUCCUCCUCCCCACUCCUGGAUACUUCUCCUGCUGCCACGUGCCCUGUCGAAAAGGCCUCCUUCGGCGAUACUUCCGG
ensembl:lncRNA